rnacentral:rRNA from 1 species
AGGAUGAACGCUAGCGGCGCGCUUAAUGCAUGCAAGUCGAACGAUGAGGCCCCUACGGGGGUACAUCAGUGGCAGACGGGUGAGUAACACGUAGGUAACCUGCCCUCGAGACGGGGAUAACGGCUGGAAACGGUCGCUAAGACCCGAUAUAGUCUGACCUUCGGGAGAAGGUGAGAGGAAAGGCUUCGGUGCUCGGGGAGGGGCCUGCGGCCCAUCAGCUAGUUGGAGAGGUAACGGCUCCCCAAGGCAAUGACGGGUAGGGGGUGUGAGAGCAUGGCCCCCCACACUGGGACUGAGACACGGCCCAGACUCCUACGGGAGGCAGCAGCAGGGAAUAUUGCGCAAUGGACGGAAGUCUGACGCAGCGACGCCGCGUGGAUGAUGAAGGCCUUCGGGUUGUAAAAUCCUUUUCCGGGCGAUGAGGAAGGACACUAGCCUGGGAAUAAGCGUCGGCUAACUACGUGCCAGCAGCCGCGGUAAGACGUAGGACGCGAGCGUUAUCCGGAUUUACUGGGCGUAAAGCGCCUGCAGGCGGUCAGGUAAGUCGGUUGUGAAAGCCCCGUGCUCAACGCGGGGAGGCCAAGCGAUACUGCGUGACUUGAGGGCGGAAGAGGGGAGUGGAAUUCCCGGUGUAGCGGUAAAAUGCGCAGAUAUCGGGAGGAACACCAGUGGCGAAGGCGGCUCCCUGGACCGCACCUGACGCUCAGAGGCGAAAGCUAGGGGAGCGAACAGGAU